UUCAGUACCCUGGCAACAGGACAACAUUUUUCAGUUAUCCAUACAAAACUACUUGGAAAGAUGACUACACACCCUGACGAAAGCGUCAUGAAAAUGCAUCCGGAGGAGGCCCGCUGCUAAAGUACGGUCGGCAGCAACAGAACCAUUUACAAUUUUUUGGAUAAUAACUUCUGGAUUUUGAUUGCAGAUUCCGGGACGAUUGUAGUAACCCAACAUCAACGGAGAAAAUAUGUUUUGCGCUGGGAACGACGGAAAGCCACCAAAUUUAUCUCUUGGGAAGAACGAAGGAAAAUUCAUACCAUUGCUCGCAGCAAUCAGGCAGCAUGAUAUUACCACCAGAACGACGGAAUUCGCUGCA
rnacentral:lncRNA from 1 species